AGGAAAGCAGGGGAUCGCAAGACCUUGCGCUUUUGGAGCGGCCGAUGUCUGAUUAGCUAGUUGGUGAGGUAAAGGCUUACCAAGGCGUCGAUCAGUAGCUGGUCUGAGAGGACGACCAGCCACACUGGGACUGAGACACGGCCCAGACUCCUACGGGAGGCAGCAGUGGGGAAUUUUGGACAAUGGGGGAAACCCUGAUCCAGCCAUGCCGCGUGAGUGAAGAAGGCCUUCGGGUUGUAAAGCUCUUUCAGCCGGAACGAAACGGUCACAGCUAGUACCUGUGACUACUGACGGUACCGGAAGAAGAAGCACCGGCUAACUACGUGCCAGCAGCCGCGGUAAUACGUAGGGUGCGAGCGUUAAUCGGAAUUACUGGGCGUAAAGCGUGCGCAGGCGGUUUUGUAAGUCAGAUGUGAAAUCCCCGGGCUUAACCUGGGAACUGCGUUUGAAACUACAAGGCU
rnacentral:rRNA from 1 species